UACGGAGGGUGCAAGCGUUAUCCGGAUUCACUGGGUUUAAAGGGUGCGUAGGCGGGUAGGUAAGUCAGUGGUGAAAAUCUUCGAGCUUAACUCGGAAACUGCCUUUGAUACUAUCUAUCUUGAAUAUUGUGGAGGUAAGCGGAAUAUGUCAUGUAGCGGUGAAAUGCUUAGAUAUGACAUAGAACACCUAUUGCGAAGGCAGCUUACUACGCAUAUAUUGACGCUGAGGCACGAAAGCGUGGGGAUCAAACAGG
rnacentral:rRNA from 1 species